CUUCUCCUCCGCCUCGCUGCGGGGGGGGGGAGAAAAGAGGGGUGUUAGGGGGAGGGGGCGCGGGGGUUGUGGGGGUUGUGGGUGUGGUGGGUGUUGGUAUGGUCAUGGGUAUCGUCAUGGUCAUGGGCAUGGGUAGCGUUGUCAUGGGCAUGGGCAUCAUCAUCAUCAUGGUCAUGGUUAUCGUCAUCAUGGGCAUCAUCAUCGUUAUCAUGGGUAUCAUCAUCGUUAUCAUGGCCAUUGUCAUCAUUAUCAUGGGUAUCGUCAUCAUGGUCAUGGUUAUCGUCAUCGUCAUGGACAUGGGUAUUGUUGUCAUGGUCAUGGGUAUCGUCAUCGUUAUCAUGGUUAUCGUCAUGGGUAUGGGCAUCAUCAUUGUUAUCAUGGGUAUCGUCGUCAUGAUCAUGGGUAUCGUCAUCGUCAUCAUGGGUAUCGUCAUCUGGUCAUGGUUAUCGUUAUGGUCAUGGGUAUCGUCAUCAUUAUCAUGGGUAUCAUCAUUAUGGCCAUUGGCAUCGUUAUCAUGGGCAUUGUCCUCAUGGGCAUGGUCAUGGUUAUCGUCAUUGUCAUGGACAUGGGUAUCAUCAUCAUGGUCAUGGUUAUCGUCAUCAUGGUCAUGGUUAUCGUCAUCAUGGUCAUGGGUAUCAUCAUCGUUAUCAUGGGCAUUGUCAUCUGGUCAUGGUUAUUGUUGUCAUGGGCAUGGGUAUCGUCAUCAUGGCCAUUGGCAUUGUCAUCAUGAUCAUGGUUAUCAUCAUCAUUAUCAUGGGUAUCGUCAUCGUUAUCAUGGGUAUCGUCAUCAUGGUCAUGAUAAUCGUCAUGGGUGUGGGUAUUGUCAUCAUGAUCAUGGUUAUCAUCAUCAUUAUCAUGGGUAUCGUCAUCGUUAUCAUGGUUAUCGUCAUGGUCAUGGGCAUCAUCAUUGUUAUCAUGGGUAUCGUCAUCGUUAUCAUGGGUAUCGUCAUCAUGGGCAUGAUAAUCGUCAUGGGUGUGGGUAUUGUCAUCAUGGUCAUGGUUAUCGUCAUCGUCAUGGACAUGGGUAGCAUCGUCAUGGGCAGUGGCAUCAUCAUCGUUACCAUGGGUAUCGUCAUCAUGGUCAUGGUUAUCAUCAUCAUGGGCAUCGUCAUCGUUAUCGUGGGUAUUGUCGUCAUGGUCAUGGUCAAUGUCAUCGUCAUUGUCGCCAUUGUCAUUGUCAUCAUCAUCAUCGUCAUUGUCAUGGUCAUGGUCAUCGUCGCCGUUACCACGGUCACACCCAUCCUCAUCCUCAUCAACCCCAUGCACCAGGGGACAUGCAGGGGGCUGGGGGUGGGGGUCAGGGGACAGCCCCCCCCCCACCCCAAGGUGUCCCCCCCUCCCUCCCCAGGGGACACAGAGGGAACCCAAAGCCCCCUCCCCAAAUUGGGGGCUGC
rnacentral:lncRNA from 1 species